AGUGAACGCUGGCGGUAGGCCUAACACAUGCCAGUCGAACGGCAGCACAGUAAGAGCUUGCUCUUACGGGUGGCGAGUGGCGGACGGGUGAGGAAUACAUCGGAAUCUACUUUUUGGUGGGGGAUAACGUAGGGAAACUUACGCUAAUACCGCAUACGACCUACGGGUGAAAGCAGGGGAUCUUCGGACCUUGCGCGAUUGAAUGAGCCGAUGUCGGAUUAGCUAGUUGGCGGGGUAAAGGCCCACCAAGGCGACGAUCCGUAGCUGGUCUGAGAGGAUGAUCAGCCACACUGGAACUGAGACACGGUCCAGACUCCUACGGGAGGCAGCAGUGGGGAAUAUUGGACAAUGGGCGCAAGCCUGAUCCAGCCAUACCGCGUGGGUGAAGAAGGCCUUCGGGUUGUAAAGCCCUUUUGUUGGGAAAGAAAAGCAGCAGGUUAAUACCCCGCUGUUCUGACGGUACCCAAAGAAUAAGCACCGGCUAACUUCGUG
rnacentral:rRNA from 1 species